UACGGGGGGGGGCAAGCGUUGUUCGGAAUUACUGGGCGUAAAGGGCUCGUAGGUGGCCAACUAAGUCAGACGUGAAAUCCCUCGGCUUAACCGGGGAACUGCGUCUGAUACUGGAUGGCUUGAGUUCGGGAGAGGGAUGCGGAAUUCCAGGUGUAGCGGUGAAAUGCGUAGAUAUCGAGAGGAACACCUGAGGUGAAGACGGGUUGCUGGGCCGACACUGACGCUGACAGCGCGAAAGCCAGGGGAGCAAACGGG
rnacentral:rRNA from 1 species